rnacentral:rRNA from 1 species
CUUGCUUCUCUUGAGAGCGGCGGACGGGUGAGUAAUGCCUAGGAAUCUGCCUGGUAGUGGGGGAUAACGUUCGGAAACGGACGCUAAUACCGCAUACGUCCUACGGGAGAAAGCAGGGGACCUUCGGGCCUUGCGCUAUCAGAUGAGCCUAGGUCGGAUUAGCUAGUUGGUGGGGUAAUGGCUCACCAAGGCGACGAUCCGUAACUGGUCUGAGAGGAUGAUCAGUCACACUGGAACUGAGACACGGUCCAGACUCCUACGGGAGGCAGCAGUGGGGAAUAUUGGACAAUGGGCGAAAGCCUGAUCCAGCCAUGCCGCGUGUGUGAAGAAGGUCUUCGGAUUGUAAAGCACUUUAAGUUGGGAGGAAGGGUUGUAGAUUAAUACUCUGCAAUUUUGACGUUACCGACAGAAUAAGCACCGGCUAACUCUGUGCCAGCAGCCGCGGUAAUACAGAGGGUGCAAGCGUUAAUCGGAAUUACUGGGCGUAAAGCGCGCGUAGGUGGUUUGUUAAGUUGGAUGUGAAAUCCCCGGGCUCAACCUGGGAACUGCAUUCAAAACUGACUGACUAGAGUAUGGUAGAGGGUGGUGGAAUUUCCUGUGUAGCGGUGAAAUGCGUAGAUAUAGGAAGGAACACCAGUGGCGAAGGCGACCACCUGGACUAAUACUGACACUGAGGUGCGAAAGCGUGGGGAGCAAACAGGAUUAGAUACCCUGGUAGUCCACGCCGUAAACGAUGUCAACUAGCCGUUGGAAGCCUUGAGCUUUUAGUGGCGCAGCUAACGCAUUAAGUUGACCGCCUGGGGAGUA